AGUGAACGCUGGCGGUAGGCCUAACACAUGCAAGUCGAACGGCAGCACAGUAAGAGCUUGCUCUUACGGGUGGCGAGUGGCGGACGGGUGAGGAAUACAUCGGAAUCUACUUUUUCGUGGGGGAUAACGUAGGGAAACUUACGCUAAUACCGCAUACGACCUACGGGUGAAAGCAGGGGAUCUUCGGACCUUGCGCGAUUGAAUGAGCCGAUGUCGGAUUAGCUAGUUGGCGGGGUAAAGGCCCACCAAGGCGACGCUCCGUAGCUGGUCUGAGAGGAUGAUCAGCCACACUGGAACGGAGACACGGUCCAGACUCCUACGGGAGGCAGCAGUGGGGAAUAUUGGACAAUGGGCGCAAGCCUGAUCCAGCCAUACCGCGUGGGUGAAGAAGGCCUUCGGGUUGUAAAGCCCUUUUGUUGGGAAAGAAAAGCAGCAGGUUAAUACCCCGCUGUUCUGACGGUACCCAAAGAAUAAGCACCGGCUAACUUCGUG
rnacentral:rRNA from 1 species